UCUCUGGGCAUUCAGGGCUGAAGAUCUGAUUGCUAGGUCAUGACUGUUGAAAUGUUUUGGGUUGGAGGUUCAGCCUAUAUCCCUAGGAGUUGAGGAGAUGAGCCUAGAAACAAGAAUUUUCUGAUUUGGUGUCUUUUCAGAUUGGGUUUUGCAAUUCUGUCGUGUUUUAAAGGACUUUUGCUAGGCCGUUAUACAAUUUGCUACUGGCUUCCUUUUCCAUCUGUUCAAAGCUCAACUUCAUGGUGGCACACAGUUAUGCUGUGGUUGUGCUGGCCAACUACCAGUGGCUUUGAACGUGGUGGCCAUUCCUCACUUCAGUCAAAAGCUCAAAGAACAGUAAAGCUUUUAAAGGUUCCUAAGGGAUCUCUGAAACCACAAAGCCAGUGGAUAGAGACCUUGCUGUACACUGGCCAAGAAACAGGAUGCAGCAGGCUCAAGCCAUAUAGUAGCCAUGAGGAAAAAACAACAAACACAAACAUGCAGAAACUAAUUAUCCAAAUACUAAAUGCAUGAGGGACCUGGUUUCCUUAGGUCUGCCGUUGAUGGAGCUCUUUGCAUGGCAGAGGAAAUGAAGUUGCUUGCAAAGUAGAAACUAAAUGAGUGGAAAAAAUAUCUGGAUUGCCUGGAACUAUUUGUCAGUAGUGUAAGGCAGACAAAGUUUAAACAUUAAUUUCUGUCUAUCUCUUCUGGGCUUUUUUUCACUUGCCCGGUGCUAAUUCAGUGUAGCAGUCUGGAGGGUGGGAUGGCACACGCAGUGCUGAGGGCAAGAGGUGCUUUUGGGUGAGGAUACAGCGUGGAUCAUCCACCUUUGUGGGAUACCCUGCCAGGCCAGGGCCGCUGGUGCCAGGUAGGCCAAGUGCCACCGAGCUGCUGGAGGGGGUGUGUGCUCUGCCUCAGGCAAGAUGCUGCUCACAGCAGGAGGGUUUGGCCUUGGCAGCCAGGGCUGCUGCCUCGGUGAGAUCCCCUGGUGCAGCCAGGCCCCUUCUGUACGGUGGUGUCUGGACAGAUGAGAAGGCGAUGACUGAGCCUGUGCUAUAACCCCUGCCCUGGGUUUCUCCAAGCCCCUCACUUAUGAGUCACUGUUUGUUUAUUUACUGAGCACACGCAAACCAUAUCAAUAGAGUGAGGCUGUUACAGACACUGCUGUUUGGACAUCAGGCUGUUUGCAGAGCAGAGGCAGAGUAGUUGCACAACCUCUGUAAGUGGUCGCCCAUUCCUAAGAAAACCAGUCAGAUAACUCAGUUUGUCCACCUGACCAAUUGCUUUAGCCCAAUGACCUGACUCUCUGCUUGCUUUUACUGUGUAAGGGGUUUGAUUUUCCUGCUGCAAAUGUGUGAGCUUUGUAUCAUCUUUCCACCUCCCCUACUGCAUAAAAACAUUAAGUCAAAAGCUGUAAGAGCAUCACAUCCUUAUGGCUGCAUUUCACUUGGGAAGGGGCUGUAUAAAAGGUAUGAGUAACUUAAAACAAUUUAAUGUGGUUACUUGUGAUUUUAAUUUUUAAUGCUAGAGCUUCCUCUCCACAGUCUAAGCCCUAAGCCCCAUUAGGAGUGCUGGUAUUACCAGCAGAGCAGUGACCAAGGCUCAGCUUUGGGUGCAGUGUUUAGUGCUGAACUACACUGCACACGGAUAUUCACCUAUGUAAGAGCUUAUGGUGGGGUUGGCACCAGGAACCUUUAUAAAUAUGACAUCUGGAGGUAAGAUGCAGGUGUGUCUUUAUAGCAGCAAGGAAUUGUUCCUGUAACCAUGCAAGAAAUAUAUAUAUAUAUACAGCAGUUAGAGUAAAAUGAGGCUUUGCUGUUUGGUUGAAGUUGUAGGAUCAUGGCAACCCACUUCAGAUGUUGAAGACAAUCUGCUUUAGCACAGUCCUCAGCUUAGAUAACAGGCCACAGGUAGGUGCUAGUUGUUGAGCUAGCUUAAGAGAGCUGGGAAUCUCUGUUUAUAAUUAAUGUAAAUAAGUCAUGAUGGAAAAUUGUCAUCCUCCUCUUCUUUGAGUCGUUUUUAUCCAUGACACCAAUGAUUGCAACAUCAGUGUGAGUAAUCCCAUGCAUGGGAUUUAUCCAAGACUCUGUUUCAUCCAAGGUUUGACUGUUUGUUUGCAGUGUUGUAAUACUUUACAAACAAGGAGCAGAGCAGCCCUGUGCGGAGGUGUCUGCUCCCUUUGGGGAUGGUGGCCUGUCUUCUUCUCAUGCUCACAAGAGACAGGAGGAGGAACUAAACACAUGACACACUUUAAGAAACGAGCCUGUAAAAUCCCACACCACCAGGCAAGGCUUUGUUUUGCACAAACAUUGAGCCCUGAAUACUUCAGUCUUGGCUGACUACGUGUGACAAGCGAGUCAGACCAAAUGUCCAUCCAGCUAGCAGCAGACGCUAAGGGAAGAGGCUGGUUUGCACUGUGCUCUUGGCAAUGCCCUGAGCCAGAGGAUACAGCCCAGGAGUAAGAAAAAAUAAUAGUGUUAAGUGUUAAAAGAAUAAAAGUGCUGGUGAACCCAUUCUGCCUUGAUCUAACCCUUUUAUGAACUUGACUAGUUUAGAUCUGGAACCUGGCAAUGAGUUACACAGCUCUGUGUCAUUUGGAAAUUAACUUCCUUCUAAGAAAAUAGAUUUUGUGUUCAAUGUCAGCUGCUCUCUCCUGCCCUCUAGAACAGCAUAUCACCCUGCCAUAAAACUUGCUGGUCUUUACUCUCAGGGUUUGAAAGGCAUACGGUUUCGCUUUGGCCAAGUAUCCUAUAAUGUCAACAGCUUGCAUUUCUGACAUCUUUUGCCACGGUGUGAAGUGUUUAUGGCAACUAUGCUGUGCUAGAGGGUUUUUUCCCUGAAGGUCAGGGUAGCUGCAGAUGAAAUAGCCUGUCCCUCCCUAUGCCAGCCCUGUGCUGUACCUCUGCAGUUUCUAAUAAAUGUUUGCUGAUUAGAAUAAUUACCCUUGGAGUAAAUUGAGAGAACUAAAUGCUGCCAACCCUAAUUGUUCAAAAAGUUACUUACCAAGUCAGGUCCUACCCCUCUGCCUUAUAAUUAGGAGCCCUUUUGGUGGACCUAGGUUUGCAAGGAGGACCAUUUUGCAUAACUAGGAAAACAAAACUGUAUACUCUAGGCAUGAAGUUUUCCUGCCCCCUGAAAUCAGACACUGUCUCUCUUCAGGUGAAUACAAAAUACUGAAAGAUGCGUAAUGAAAAAUAACAGGAGUUGGAAGCAACUGGCCUCAGCUCUAAUUAUAACAGUGUUCAGCCACUGCCUGCACUUGGCAGAGGUACUGGCUUCUGUGAACAACUCACCCAGCUUGAACCAUGCUUGGCCAUUCUCCAGGUUUAGUGUGGCAUUUUUCUGGGCAGGCAGCACCUUUAUCAUGCUGGUUCUCCAGGGAAGUCCCUCACACAGAACAAAUUUCAGUGGAUCACUUCCUCAUUCUGCUCUUCUGCUUCUACUUUCUCAGGCUAAAAGCUGGGCAGUAGCCAUAUGGCCCCUGAACUGGCAUAAGCACGAAUGCAGCUGUGGCAGAGGCUGUGGAGCCUCCUCACAUCAGUGGAAGGUCUGGUCCUUCUGUGCAGUGGUGGUUAUUCAAGGAACCAGGCAACCCCUGAGGAGCAGCUGACUGUGGUAUUCCCCGUGUUCUCCUCCUGGCUGCUUGGAGCACCCUGAAGCCCAGCAGGAGAAAACAGAACAAGUUGUUUCCUGAAGGUGGAGUUGGGAGAGAUGGCUGUGAUCACUGGGUCCUGCCCCUUCAUUCCAAAGGGUUUGUCCUGCUGCCAACAACUACGUGUUGCUGUUCCUUGGUUUCUGUGAGUGCUUGCUGAGCUUCGCCCUUGGAGCAAGCCUGAUUUGCUGAGGAUAUUCAGGAGAUAAAGUGAUAUCCAGAAGCUGAAUAUAGGCACUUUUUAAGGGUCGGGACAUGUUAGGAACUAGCCUGUUGAAUCUGUGUUUGGAGUGAAGAAUUCACAUCCAUUUGCAGAAGACUGAAGCUAGUCAGUGAGAUACCCUCUGCUCCUCCCAUUCCCCAGCACUUAAUACAGUAUUAAAGUCUGUUGCAGCAGUUUGAAGGACACACUUUCCUCUGUGCCAUAGUUUAUAUCUAAUACAGUAAUGUUUAUGCUCUUCCCUUGUGCUGGUGGUGAAUCUCCCUGUAUGACAAACUCUUCAUUCUUUGGCAUGACCAUGGCAAGCCUGCUUUUAGCACUGUUUCCAAACUUAGCCAGUGCUUAGAACAGAUUGUUAGAGAGCAGCAAGCUGGCACUGCUAACAAGGUGAGCUCAGGGGUUGUUCUGGGCUCUCAGCUGUCUGCUGGGUCUCUGUCACAUCAGAAAUAGCCUUCCCUGUUACAGAGAUCCCAAAAUGCUGCAGCCAACCUGCCUCACACUGGGCUGUAAGAGAGAGACAAGCAGGAGCUCAGACACUGGGUACCAAGUCGAGUCAUUUCCACUGAUUCUGCUGGCAUGAAGAGGGUUUACUCCACACAAAGACUUGUUGCAAUGUGUUUCAACAAGGGAAACGCUUUUUCCUUGCUUGGCAGAAAUAUUUGUAGCCACACCGAAAGGCUAGUUUGUUACCAGGGAGCUUGUAAGAUGUUUGUCCACUUAAUCACAAAAACAGCAGAGACUGUAAGGGUGUUUCUGCAGGUGCCAGAGGGGCCAGCUGGAAGGGAAAAGCAACAAGAAUUCCUCCCCGUGCUGCUCCCAUCUGCCAAGUCAUGAGUGCCACCCUGCAAUGUCAUCACUGUGGGACAUGGGCACCACGGUGGUGUUUGAGAAUGUCCUGUGGGAACCCACAGUCAGCACCAGUUGGUACUGGUUGGCCUUUGGUUGGUAUCUGGCAGGACAGAGCCUGGCUGGCCAGAGCAAUGGCUGCAGAAGAAAGGUUGAGCCCAAAUGAGAGAGGAUGGUUUUAAAGGGAGGCAUCAACAGCUAAAAUCUCCUCCUCUUCCUCAGACAAGCCGGGGGAGUCCUCAGGUUCAGCUUCUCCGGCCUCUGCUGAGUGGGAUAGUCAAGCAGCUGUGGAUGUUGCUGUAGGAGCAAUGACAGCACUGACUGAAAGAGACAUUCCUCCUUCUUCCAAGGGGAGCAGUGGCUAAACUGAAGACCUCUCCCUUCUCAAGCAGCUCUGGGAAAUUUCUCACAGUGAUGAGUUUCGUUCCCUUUAGUGGGUUGGUGAUGGAUUCUUUGUUGCCAUCAAUAAAGAAAUGUUCAAGGAGGAGGUGCUGGUGAGAAGAGGACUUGGCAGGGCUUUUGAAAUGGAGAGCAUGAGCAGUUUUCCUCGUCAGCUCGACCUGUAUGGGCUGUGCGAACUGCCGUGUCCAGUUUGUCUAACUCCAGGGAUGAAUUUCCAGCAGAAGAAGUAGCUUCUUCAGCUCCUACAAAGCUUCUAUGAAUCUGUUACAGCCCCAACUUUAAGAUGGAGCAUCCCCAGGUGCUGGAAAGGUACAAGCCAAGAGUGGGCCACAAAAGGAGAGCCCCAGCUGCAUCAUGUCUGGAUGAGGAGCUGGAGGAAAGCUGCCAAGAUCUUCAUCCUGCACAGGGAACUGCU